rnacentral:misc_RNA from 1 species
CUAAGGUGGGAUAGAUGAUUGGGGUGAAGUCGUAACAAGGUAGCCGUAUCGGAAGGUGCGGCUGGAUCACCUCCUUUCUAAGGAAAAAACGGAAGCCAUUGAGUUUGUCUUGUUUAGUUUUGAGAGGUCUUGUGGGGCCUUAGCUCAGCUGGGAGAGCGCCUGCUUUGCACGCAGGAGGUCAGCGGUUCGAUCCCGCUAGGCUCCAUAAACAGUCUGAAGUUUCACUUCAUCCUGUUUAUGACAACGAAGUCAAUAA